rnacentral:rRNA from 1 species
AUUGAACGCUGGCGGCAGGCCUAACACAUGCAAGUCGAGCGGAUGAAGGGAGCUUGCUCCUGGAUUCAGCGGCGGACGGGUGAGUAAUGCCUAGGAAUCUGCCUGGUAGUGGGGGAUAACGUCCGGAAACGGGCGCUAAUACCGCAUACGUCCUGAGGGAGAAAGUGGGGGAUCUUCGGACCUCACGCUAUCAGAUGAGCCUAGGUCGGAUUAGCUAGUUGGUGGGGUAAAGGCCUACCAAGGCGACGAUCCGUAACUGGUCUGAGAGGAUGAUCAGUCACACUGGAACUUGGACACGGUCCAGACUCCUACGGGAGGCAGCAGUGGGGAAUAUUGGACAAUGGGCGGAAGCCUGAUCCAGCCAUGCCGCGUGUGUGAAGAAGGUCUUCGGAUUGUAAAGCACUUUAAGUUGGGAGGAAGGGCAGUAAGUUAAUACCUUGCUGUUUUGGCGUUACCAACAGAAUAAGCACCGGCUAACUUCGUG